rnacentral:rRNA from 1 species
GAUGAACGCUAGCGAUAGGCUUAACACAUGCAAGUCGAGGGGCAGCAUGGUCUUAGCUUGCUAAGACUGAUGGCGACCGGCGCACGGGUGCGUAACGCGUAUGCAACUUGCCUCACAGAGGGGGAUAACCCGUCGAAAGACGGACUAAUACCGCGUACACUCUAUUUUGGGCAUCCAAGGUAGAGGAAAUGAAAUUCGCUGUGAGAUAGGCAUGCGUCCCAUUAGCUAGUUGGUGAGGUAACGGCUCACCAAGGCGACGAUGGGUAGGGGAACUGAGAGGGUGGAACCCCAAACUGGGACUGGGAACACGACCAGACUCCCACGGGAGGCAGGCGGUAGGGAUAGUGGGCAAUGGGCGAGAGGCUGAAACCGGCAAGGCGGGGGAAGGAAUGCCGGCUUAUGGAAUGUAAACCUUUUUUGGUAGGGAAUAAAGAGGGGCACGUGUGCCCCAGUGAAUGUACCCUACGAAUAAGCAUCGGCUAACUCCGUG